UUGAGCGGCUUGAGGGGAAACUAUCACGAGCCGUUCUUUGGGGAGGGGGACACGGCGACGUGUGCCUCCUUACCCGAC
rfam:Anabaena cylindrica PCC 7122, complete genome.